CUGUUGAAUGAGAUGUGCUUUGUUAGGGCUGGAGUAAAAAUCCAUAGGACGGUUGAUCUCCGGGAACAGGGUUGGGCAGCCCUGCUCUAUACCAAUGUGUUCUUUUUGUUGUGGACUUUGUAACCAGAAUUUUACUUUUUGGAGUCACGCACGUACAUAAGCAAAUUUUUUAGUGUUUAUGCAAAUUUGCAUAAACACUUUGAGAGAACAGAAGUCUAGAGAGCUCUUCACAAACAAAAGUUUCCCUGGAGUGUCAUAUUUAUGGUUGGGGACAUCAGGAACAAGUGUGUGUUUGAGGAACUUUGUGUUCUGUCGAUGGUCCGCACACCUGCGGGCUGUCUCCCGCCAUGUUGAAUGCACGUGGGAGUGCCAGUGUUUAAGCGUAGCUGCUGUCAGGAUGUGACGCUGUCAUGUGCAAAAUUUCCAGCCCGUAUUUUUAAUGCCCUUGGAUUCAUAUUUACUGUGUCAUAGUUAGCUAAAUGGCAACCGUCAACAUGUUCAUGUAGGUACACGUGCGGUGGAUGCCAAAAUAGGCUCUGCUGUCUGUUACUUUUGAAAUGAUACACUAAUUGUGAUGUUGUAGCCUGGAUUGAAUCUAUGUCACUUAUUAUUUUUUACUCAUAAACAAAAGCAAAAAUUGUUUUAUUUUACCUUCAAAAUCACAACUUGGCACCUUUUUGGUAACUCAGAUUCAUCAAA